rnacentral:rRNA from 1 species
UGGGGAAUCUUGCACAAUGGGCGAAAGCCUGAUGCAGCAACGCCGCGUGCGGGAAGACAGCCCUAGGGUUGUAAACCGCUUUCAGCAGGGAAGAAACUGACGGUACCUGCAGAAGAAGAUGCGGCCAACUACGUGCCAGCAGCCGCGGUGACACGUAGGCAUCAAGCGUUAUCCGGAUUUAUUGGGCGUAAAGAGCUCGUAGGCGGUUCGGUAAGUCGGGUGUGAAAACUCUGGGCUCAACCCAGAGAGGCCACUCGAUACUGCUGUGACUAGAGUGCGGUAGGGGAGCGGGGAAUUCCUGGUGUAGCGGUGAAAUGCGCAGAUAUCAGGAGGAACACCAGUGGCGAAGGCGCCGCUCUGGGCCGUAACUGACGCUGAGGAGCG